GGGCUUGUAGCUCAGUGGACUAGAGCGCGUGGCUACGAACCACGGUGUCGGGAGUUCGAAUCUCUCCUAGCUCAUAA
rnacentral:tRNA from 1 species